rnacentral:lncRNA from 1 species
AACAACUUCCACCGGCCACCCCUAUUAAACGCACUUGUCUACCCCCACUUCUUUGUACCGCAGCCGUUCCUCCUCUCGCCUCGCAGCAACACGCUCUUGCCGUCACGUGGUGCCUCGGCCUCGUAGCCGUGUCUAAUCUCCGUGAUGUCGCCUUGCCAAGUCGCCGUCGUCCAUCGCGAUGGAGUUCUUUAUCGCCGCUCACAUUUUGUCCUCGCCGUCCGAGCUUCGCGUUGAGGUGAGUAACCCCUCCGUCUACCCCCUCCCUGCGAGCCUCACAUGUGUCGCCUUUCUCGCGCCACGCUCGCGAUGCCGCUGUGCCCCGAUGAACCUCCCAGUCGUGUCCUCGCACAUGCGCGCUCGUGGCGCGUUGUGCCGAGUGAUUAGACUGGAGAAAAGGAACUGCCCUGGCCCCACGCUCAUGCACCACUAAUUCUUCCAUGGCUCCAUGUGUUCCCUUCACACACGCUCGUUUUGCAGUUGCAUGCAUGCAUGCAAACUGCCUUGGCAGAUGCUCGAGUGGCAGAGAUAUGUAUUUCCCUGUUUUGUGCUAGGGAGCCCAAGAUCUUCUGUGACCGUGUGCCGUGUGGUCCUUCGUGUGCCUUGGAUCUGGCCGAUCACAACGCGCCACGACAUUUUAUUAGGCAAUUUAGUAAACAUGUGAUAGCUUUUGCGUUAUAAAUUUGUUUCGACACGUUCCAGUGGCGUUAACUUUGUAACAUCAUCGCCUACGUGUUAGUAACAUUAUUUUACAGUGAUACACGUUUUAGUUAAUUAAUUGAUCCGACGGUUAUUAACGUAGCAAUUUAUUUAAACUAAUUUAUUGUUUUAGUGGCACUUUUAUAAAUACAUGUUAAUUUGAUUAAUACCAACCCAAAUAUUUAGAUUCAAUACUCGCCUAGUAUAAACGCGGUAUCAGCUAUUGAUUCUCGAGUCGCGCGUGAUAUUUUGCGCGUACUAGUUCACAUGCUGUCGCGCGCGUCGUCGUUCGCGUAAUUCGCUAUUUGCGUGCCUUAUAAUAAAAUCAAUUCGCCAUAUUGUUAAUGUUAAAUAAUUAAUUAAUUAUUUAGUUUUCAGUUAUUAAAAUAACGAUUCAAUCGAAUCUAAAUUAUAAUUUUAAUUAUGUAUUUGUAGAUAACUGUUAACGUGAUUGUGCCGACUUAAAUGCUAUAUUUAAUAUAGAAACGACAUAAUUUAGUAGUAUUUGUAUGUCACGUCGUUUAUUAGUGACGAAUUAUUAGUUAUUCAAUAUAUAAUACGUCGUAAACCUAUUUCGACUCAUUCCAGUCGUGUAAACUUCGUAACAAUGUCGAUUUCAUAUUAGUCACGUAUUUUACCAUGUCACAAGUUUUAAUUGUUUAAUUAGUUAUUCAUUUGAUAAAUAUUAAAAAUGACCUUCGAAUUUAAACUAGUUUAUAGUUUCUAACUCGCGUCUUUAUAGAUAAAUGUUAACUUGAUGAAUACCAAUUUAAACGCUUUUUCAUUUAAUACUUGUUUAGUAUAAUCACGUUAUCUGUUAGCGAGUAUCACGCGUCGUCGCACUGUCUGUGCGCUAGUCGCGCGUGAUGUGCUCGUGGUCGCGUGCUGGUCCGCGCGUUGCGCACAUCGUGUUUGCACGUCAUGCGUCGUUAAUUCGUCUCGCUUAGAAUCGCUCAUAUUCAUUAUGUUACUUGCUUAACUGUCAACUAUUAAAAUAGUAAGUUAGUCAAAACUAAGUAGUAGUAUUAAUUUACAUUUGAUUAAUAUCGAUUAAUAUAAUUAUGUUGAAUUAGAUGUUCUAAUUAGUACUUGUUUAACGUAAACGCGCUAACCCCUCGACCGUAGCUCCGACUAUCGUGGUUCUUUUCCUCGCAUAACUGUAGAAGCGCUCUCUAUUUUAUAUUGCUCGCUUUUAUAAUAUUUUAUCUCGUAUGGUGUAAUGUUCUUAUGCAAGUAUAUGUUUGUUUGUGCCUGUUUGUAUUCGCUGUGCGUCGCGAAUAGACUGCGAUCCAUUUCCGAGCUUCGAGGAAUCGACGGUCAAGCUGCG